GAUGAACGCUGGCGGCGUGCCUAAUACAUGCAAGUCGAGCGAACAGACGAGGAGCUUGCUCCUCUGACGUUAGCGGCGGACGGGUGAGUAACACGUGGAUAACCUACCUAUAAGACUGGGAUAACUUCGGGAAACCGGAGCUAAUACCGGAUAAUAUAUUGAACCGCAUGGUUCAAUAGUGAAUGACGGUUUUGCUGUCACUUAUAGCUGGAUCCGCGCCGCAUUAGCUAGUUGGUAAGGUAACGGCUUACCAAGGCAACGAUGCGUAGCCGACCUGAGAGGGUGAUCGGCCACACUGGAACUGAGACACGGUCCAGACUCCUACGGGAGGCAGCAGUAGGGAAUCUUCCGCAAUGGGCGAAAGCUUGACGGAGCAACGCCGCGUGAGUGAUGAAGGUCUUCGGAUCGUAAAACUCUGUUAUUAGGGAAGAACAAAUGUGUAAGUAACUAUGCACGUCUUGACGGUACCUAAUCAGAAAGCCACGGCUAACUACGUG
rnacentral:rRNA from 1 species